UACGGAGGAUGCGAACGUUAUCCGGAUUUAUUGGGUUUAAAGGGUGCGCAGGCGGCACGGCAAGCCGGCGGUCAAAUCGCGGGGCUCAACCCCGCCCAGCCGUCGGAACUGCCGGGCUAGAGUGGGCGAGAAGUGCGCGGAAUGCGUGGUGUAGCGGUGAAAUGCAUAGAUAUCACGCAGAACUCCGAUUGCGAAGGCAGCGCACCGGCGCCCUACUGACGCUCAGGCACGAAAGCGUGGGUAUCGAACAGG
rnacentral:rRNA from 1 species